rnacentral:rRNA from 1 species
GUAARCGACCYGUCUYGAAACACGGACCAAGGAGUYUAACAUYUAUGCAAGUGUUUGGGUKUCAAACCCAUGCGCGUAAUGAAAGUGAACGGAGGUGAGAACCCUAAAGGGCGCAUCAUCGACCGAUCCAGAUGUCUUYGGAYGGAUUUGAGUACGAGCAUAGCUGUUGGGACCCGAAAGAUGGUGAACUAUGCCUGAAUAGGGUGAAGCCARAGGAAACUUUGGUGRAGGCUCGCAGCGGUUYUGACGUGCAAAUCGAUCGUCAAAUUUGGGUAUAGGGGCGAAAGACUAAAUGAACCAUMUGGUAGCUGGUUCCUGCCG